rnacentral:rRNA from 1 species
AUUGAACGCUGGCGGCAUGCCUAACACAUGCAAGUCGGACGAGUGGCGGACGGGUGAGUAACGCAUCGGAAACUGCCCGAUGGUGGGGGAUAACUAUUGGAAACGGUAGCUAAUACCGCAUACUAUCCGAUGUGCCGAUGUCGGAUUAGCUGGUGGGCGGGGUAAAGGCUCACCAAGGCGACGAUCAGUAGCGGGUCUGAGAGGAUGACCCGCCACACUGGGACUGAGACACGGCCCAGACUCCUACGGGAGGCAGCAGUGGGGAAUAUUGGACAAUGGGCGCAAGCCUGAUGCAGCCAUGCCGCGUGUAUGAAGAAGGCCUUCGGGUUGUAAAGGACUUUUGUCAGGGAAGCGUUACCCGAAGAAGAAGCACCGGCUAACUACGUGCCAGCCGCCGCGGUAAUUC